UAUACAGUGAUUCUCAUAUGGAGACCUAUGGAAUAGCUGCAGUAGAACUAGAGAUGAGACCCAGUUAACCAGAGAGUCCUAUGGAAUAGCUGCAGUAGAACUAGAGAUGAGACCCAGUUAACCAGAGAGACCUAUGGAAUAGCUGCAGUAGAACUAGAGAUGAGACCCAGUUAACCAGAGAGACCUAUGGAAUAGCUGCAGUAGAACUAGAGAUGAGACCCAGUUAACCAGAGACCUAUGGAAUAGCUGCAGUAGAACUAGAGAUGAGACCCAGUUAACCAGAGAGACCUAUGGAAUAGCUGCAGUAGAACUAGAGAUGAGACCCAGUUAACCAGAGACCUAUGGAAUAGCUGCAGUAGAACUAGAGAUGAGACCCAGUUAACCAGAGAGUCCUAUGGAAUAGCUGCAGUAGAACUAGAGAUGAGACCCAGUUAACCAGAGUCCUAUGGAAUAGCUGCAGUAGAACUAGAGAUGAGACCCAGUUAACCAGAGAGACCUAUGGAAUAACUGCAGUAGAACUAGAGAUGAGACCCAGUUAACCAGAGUCCUAUGGAAUAGCUGCAGUAGAACUAGAGAUGAGACCCAGUUAACCAGAGAGUCCUAUGGAAUAGCUGCAGUAGAACUAGAGAUGAGACCCAGUUAACCAGAGUCCUAUGGAAUAGCUGCAGUAGAACUAGAGAUGAGACCCAGUUAACCAGAGUCCUAUGGAAUAGCUGCAGUAGAACUAGAGAUGAGACCCAGUUAACCAGAGAGUCCUAUGGAAUAGCUGCAGUAGAACUAGAGAUGAGACCCAGUAGUGUGUGUUAGUGAGAGAUAAUCUAAAAUGUUCUAGGUGUUUUACAUCUACUAAAAUGAAAGCAAGUUAGGUUGUACAGUUGUAUCUGGAACGUUUGGGGAUACAAGGAUCACCUCUAUAUAUAUAUAUAUAUAUAUAUAUAUAUAUAUAUAUAUAUAUUUAUUUGACUGAGGACGAUCUCUAUAGUUGAUUGCAGCAUGACAUCCUCUGUCGGUCACAAGAAAAGCGAUUUUCUCGUCACAUUUCACUCUUGAGAUGUCGUUAGCUAGCUACGUUAGAAGUAGUUCUCGAUGUAUAUGUGGGGACCGUGAAAUGCGAACAUAGUUUGUUUGUGGUCAUGAUUCGUCAUCGAUCUGCAUCCCUCCUCGUUCAUUCGUCGUGUUCUGUAUGUUGACGAUGCUGUGGGCAACAGUGCAUUGAAGUGCUGCUUUCUUGACUAGAAAUCACUUUUUAUUUUUUACACUUUAUUUUUUAUUUUUUGUAACUUUUAUUUUUUGGAGAAUCUCUUCUGACAGGUAAAACACUUCGAGCUGUAACACACGUGCAGUCAAUGAGUUGUUAAUGAUCGAUUACAGUGUGACGACCCCCCUUCCGUGUUAUAUGCACUCUUAUUGCUAUUGGUAAAUCACUCUAGGUAUGUACUGUAUCAUAACAGCCAGCUGAUAACAUGUCUGUUACUAAGCAACUUCAAAAUAAACCAGAUGGCUUAUUAUUGUUAUUAUUAUUAUUCAUCCGAGUUCAUUAUUUCCACCUUCUCCAUGUACAAAAAAAAAUAAAUAAUAACAAACAAACAAACAAGUUUAGAAAGGAAUACGAAUCGUGAUUUUUAUCGAAUGCUAAUUUUAUGUUGUCAGGCUAUUAAAGGAAAACGGUUCACUUCUUAUCCAGAGUGAAAUGAACUGUAUAAAGUAUUUAUGCAAAUAUUAACUGAGUUUUUCCAUUUUUUUUUUUUUAUGUCAGGAAGUUGUUACGUGUUGUGUGUGGAUUAACACAAAUGAUUUUGUGUCCAGUUGCAUUGAACAUGUUUUAUUUACAUUAUUAUUUUUGUUGUUUAUUUUUUGUUUUCGUGAUAUAUUUUUUUUUCCGGCGCAAUUGUCAGUCUUAUGAGUUUGUUUUUUAAGCCAUUAUUAACCCCCGAAGCGAUAGGUCGGUGUACAGUUACGAUGGGAGUGCUGGAGAUGUACCCCCAACUCUGGGUGGCCUUUUUCUAUUCUUUAUGGAAGAAGAAGAAAAAAUAAGGACUGAUCAAAUUUAAAUAAUGUAUUAUUUUUGAUGGUCUUGUAUUAGACUGCAUUACUACAGUAUCUAGUGUGCAAUCUGUGAUGAUAGCUGAAUGUUCAUUGUGCAUAUGUGUUCAGUACAACAAUGAGAAGAACCGUAGAAUAACCCCUACAGAAACUGUAACAAUAAUACAAUAGAUCUGGUACGUAUAAUUUCAUUAAAUACUUGCUGUUUACCACCAAUUAGA